rnacentral:lncRNA from 1 species
CUUGGAAGCUGAGAAAUGAAAUCUAUGCAAUAAUGACUCAUUUCAGAAGACACAUCUAUGAUUUCUGUCUUUUCACAUGUGAAUAAGUAUUUAUGGUACACCAUCUACAAGGCACAAUGGAGAAAGCGAAGAUGAAUCAGUCAGUCGUGUCCUCCUCAUAGAGCAGGGUGGAGGAAAAGAGAGGCACUACUUAUGUAUGUGACAAUCACACAGACGUACAUAUCUGAUCAAUACUCAAGCUAAUAAAGCAAGUACAUUUGGCAUAUCAUGAGAAUUCAGAAGAGGACUCUCAAUGAUAAAAUAUAACUAUUUUAAUUGUAUAUGAAGGGUGGGCAGAGAUUUGAUAUGCAAAAAUAGAGAAAGGGGAGCAUGUACUUUUCAGGAAUUAGAGAUCAUGGGAUGUCUAGAUAGAUUAAUGUUCUGGUGUAAUGUUCUGGUGUAAUAACCCCCUGCCCCCAUUUGGGUUUUUGUUUUUUAUGGUCCUGGAGCUUGAACCCUGGGUUUAGUGUAUGAUAGACAUGUGCUUCACUACUGAGCUACAUCACUAGCCCCCUACUUUCAAUUACUGUACAGUAGAUUUCAUUUUCUAUAGUUCAUAUACACAAAUUCAUACAGCAUGUGUUCUUCUUUGUCUGACUUUUUUCCCUGAGCAUAAUAACUCUGACAUUCAUUGAUGCUAUUGUAUAUGCUUCCUUCUAUUGCAUUGUGUGGAUGUACCUAAAUUCAUUUAUCCACUCACUUAUUGAUGAGUGGAUAAAUGCAUUGUUGAGUUAAUUAUGAUUUUGGCUAUUACAAAUAAAGUUACUAUGUAUAAAAAAAAGACAACCAAAUCCAGACAGCCUUGCUCCAGAACCAUAUCUCUUUCCAAAAAUGCUUUGCCACCUUUAUCUUUACUGUAUUUUUUUCAUUGCAUAUUGUACUUGGAAGAGUUUCUUUAUUUGUCUAUACCCCAAUUGUCUUUAGCUCUUUGAGGGAAAGGAUGUUGUUAUAGUAGCCAUUAUCUCCCUAGUGCCUGGCAUAUAGUAGACUUUCAAUAAAUAUUUAUUGACUAUUAGAUUUUUAAAUUGAAUUGUCCUUGAAUGAAAGAUAUAAGAAGAGGACUGGGGUUGUGGCUCAGCGGUAGAGCGCCUGCAUCGCACGUGUGAAACCCUGGGUUUGAUCCUCAGCACCACAUAAAAAUAAAUAAACAAAAUAAAGAUAUUGUGCCCAUGCAUAACUAAAAAAUAUUUAAAAAAAGAUUAAGAAGAUACAAUGCCUUCACUGAGCUUAAGAAGCAUCUCACUGUGUUAUACUCUUAAUAAAGAUACUCCCAGAAGUAGAAAUAUUUAUGAGAACAGAUGUAUGCAUGCAGGCAUAAUCUAUUUAUCUGCCUUUAAGUAUUAUCUGUAGCCAAUUCUGAGAACAAUAACUAUUUUAAUUGUACAUUUGACUGUUACUUAAAGAAGAUUUUUGGCUGGGUGCGUGGCAUACACCUGUAAUCUCAGUACUUGGGCAGCUGAGACAGGAGGAUCCCAGGUUAGCAACACAGGGAGACUCUGUCUCAAAUAAAAAAUGAAAAGAGCUGGGAAUGUAGGUCAGUGGUAAAAAGUGCUUCUGGGUUCAGUCCCCUGCACCACCAAAUCAAAACUGAAAACUAUAUCUUUUGUUUAACAUUCAAAAUAUUUCUUUCUUUCCAUUCUUAUUCCCUGCCUCUACCCCCUUCAACAGUUUCCUCUGUCUGACGAGAAUGGCAGAGUGUGGUUUUUCCUCCAGUUCUGGCUAUGCUUCAUGGCUUGUUCAUGGCUAGGAACUGUGCAUUUAAUCAGAAACUAAAUUCUUAGCCUUCUAUUUUUUUUAAAAUUUUAUUUAUUUAUUUUUUAGUCUUACAUGAUAAUAGAAUGCAUUUUGACAUAUAAUACAUACAUCAAUCAUAUUGUCAAUUCUAUUCUGUUGCCCUUCCUAUCCUCCUUACUCCUUCCCUCCUCUCCCAUCCUUUCUCUCUAUCCAAUCUAAUGUGACACACUUUUUUUUUCUUUUUCUCAUUACAACAUCAUAUAUGUAUUCUGUAUAACAAUGAAGUUCUCCUUCCAUCUUCCAUGCAACUCCCCUUCUCCCUCUUUUUCCCUCCCACCUCUCUUCCCUAUUUAGUGGUAGUCUUCUUCUCAUUCUCUUCCUCCCUAUCCCAUUUUGAGUCACCCUCCUUAUAUCAGAGAAGACAUUCAGCAUUGGUUUUUUAGGGAUUGGCUA